GAUGAAGAACUAGCGAAAUGCGAUAAGUAAUGUGAAUUGCAGAAUUCAGUGAAUCAUCGAAUCUUUGAACGCACAUUGCGCCCCUUGGUAUUCCGAGGGGCAUGCCUGUUCGAGCGUCAUUAUAACCCCUCAAGCUCAGCUUGGUGUUGGGGCCUGCCGCACGGGCAGCCCUUAAAAUCAGUGGCGGUGCUAUCUGGCUCUAAGCGUAGUAAUUCUUCUCGCUAUAGAGUCCCGGUGGAUGCUUGCCAUUAACCCCCAAUUUUCUAUGGUUGACCUCGGAUCAGGUAGGGAUACCCGCUGAACUUAAGCAUAUCAAUAAGCGGAGGA
rnacentral:misc_RNA from 1 species